AUUGAACGCUGGCGGCAGGCUUAACACAUGCAAGUCGAGCGAGCGGCGGACGGGUGAGUAAUGUCUGGGAAACUGCCUGAUGGAGGGGGAUAACUACUGGAAACGGUAGCUAAUACCGCAUACCAUCGGAUGUGCCCAGAUGGGAUUAGCUAGUAGGUGGGGUAAAGGCUCACCUAGGCGACGAUCCCUAGCUGGUCUGAGAGGAUGACCAGCCACACUGGAACUGAGACACGGUCCAGACUCCUACGGGAGGCAGCAGUGGGGAAUAUUGGACAAUGGGCGAAAGCCUGAUGCAGCCAUGCCGCGUGUGUGAAGAAGGCCUGCGGGUUGUAAAGCACUUUAAGCGAGGAGGCGCUACUAGCAGAAGAAGCACCGGCUAACUCCGUGCCAGCAGCCGCGGUAAUAC
rnacentral:rRNA from 1 species